UACGGAGGGGGCUAGCGUUGUUCGGAAUUACUGGGCGUAAAGCGCGCGUAGGCGGAUCUGCAAGUCUGGGGUGAAAUCUUUCGGCUCAACCGGAAACGUGCCCCGGAUACGGAUCGGCUGGAGGGAGGUAGGGGUCGACGGAACUUCCGGUGGAGCGGUGAAAUGCGCAGAUAUCAGGAGGAACACCGGUGGCGAAGGCGGUUCUCUGGGCCUUACCUGACGCUGGAGGAGCGAAAGCGUGGGGAGCGAACAGG
rnacentral:rRNA from 1 species